rnacentral:tRNA from 13 species
UGACCCGGACGUGAUUUGAACACGCAGCCUUCUGAUCUGGAGCCAGACGCGCUGUCGUUGCGCCACCGAGUC